UACGUAGGGGGCAAGCGUUGUCCGGAUUUAUUGGGCGUAAAGAGCGUGUAGGCGGCUAGGUAGGUCCGUUGUGAAAACUCGAGGCUCAACCUCGAGACGUCGAUGGAAACCAUCUAGCUAGAGUCCGGAAGAGGAGAGUGGAAUUCCUGGUGUAGCGGUGAAAUGCGCAGAUAUCAGGAAGAACACCCGUGGCGAAGGCGGCUCUCUGGGCCGAUACUGACGCUGAGGAGCGAAAGCAUGGGGAGCGAACAGG
rnacentral:rRNA from 1 species